UAGGGAAUCUUCCGCAAUGGACGAAAGUCUGACGGAGCAACGCCGCGUGAGCGAAGAAGGAUUUCGGUUCGUAAAACUCUGUUGUUAGGGAAGAAAAAAUGUAUAGUAACUAUAUACAAAAGAGACGGUACCUAACCAGAAAGCCACGGCUAACUACGUGCCAGCAGCAGCGGUAAUACGUAGGUGUCAAGCGUUGUCCGGAAUUAUUGGGCGUAAAGCGCGCGCAGGUGGUUUAGAAAGUCUGAUGUGAAAGCCCACGGCUCAACCGUGGAGGGUCAUUGGAAACUACUAAACUUGAGUGCAGGAGAUAAAAGUGGAGUUCCUAGUGUAGCGGUGAAAUGCGUAGAGAUUAGGAGGAACACCGGUGGCGAAGGCGGCUUUUUGGCCUGCAACUAACAAUGAGGCGCGAAAGCGUGGGGAGCAAACAGG
rnacentral:rRNA from 1 species